rnacentral:rRNA from 1 species
GACGAACGCUGGCGGCGUGCUUAACACAUGCAAGUCGAACGGUGAACCAGAGCUUGCUCUGGGGAUCAGUGGCGAACGGGUGAGUAACACGUGGGCAACCUGCCCCAGACUCUGGGAUAACCCCGGGAAACCGGAGCUAAUACCGGAUAUGACCACUUCGGACAUCCGAUGGUGGUGGAAAGUUUUUCGGUCUGGGAUGGGCCCGCGGCCUAUCAGCUAGUUGGUGGGGUAAUGGCCUACCAAGGCGACGACGGGUAGCCGGCCUGAGAGGGCGACCGGCCACACUGGAACUGAGACACGGUCCAGACUCCUACGGGAGGCAGCAGUGGGGAAUUUUGGACAAUGGGCGAAAGCCUGAUCCAGCCAUUCCGCGUGCAGGAUGAAGGCCCUCGGGUUGUAAACUGCUUUUGUACGGAACGAAAAGGCUCUUGCUAAUACCAGGAGUCCAUGACGGUACCGUAAGAAUAAGCACCGGCUAACUACGUGCCAGCAGCCGCGGUAAU